CUCAGGAUGAACGCUGGCGGCGUGCUUAACACAUGCAAGUCGAACGAAGCAUUUAAGACGGAUUCUUUCGGGAUGAAGACUUUAUGACUGAGUGGCGGACGGGUGAGUAACGCGUGGGUAACCUGCCUCACACAGGGGGAUAGCAGUUGGAAACGGCUGAUAAUACCGCAUAAGCGCACAGUACCGCAUGGUACAGUGUGAAAAACUCCGGUGGUAUAAGAUGGACCCGCGUCUGAUUAGCUUGUUGGUGAGGUAACGGCCCACCAAGGCGACGAUCAGUAGCCGGCCUGAGAGGGUGAACGGCCACAUUGGGACUGAGACACGGCCCAAACUCCUACGGGAGGCAGCAGUGGGGAAUAUUGCACAAUGGGGGAAACCCUGAUGCAGCGACGCCGCGUGAGUGAUGAAGUAUUUCGGUAUGUAAAACUCUAUCAGCAGGGAAGAUAAUGACGGUACCUGACUAAGAAGCACCGGCUAAAUACGUG
rnacentral:rRNA from 1 species